rnacentral:lncRNA from 1 species
AUUUUAGAGGUAAGAAGUUUUUGUGUCAUCAUAAUCUUUUUGAUGCAGUACUGAUGCCAAGAGUUAACCCACGAUAAAGAGAACAGGCAAUAGGACGUUUGAAUGCUGGACAAUGACUUCAAGUCGGUGCAAAUGCAUUUAACUGCAAUGUUCGCACCACCAAACGUCUCUGUGAACGCCACAAUGCAACAACCAGUACAAAAUUACCG